AUUGUCGAACCUGCUCCGCAGAACGACCCGCGAACACGUUUAAAAUACAUUCGGUGGAGCGGGGGGCUCAGGCUUCCCCGAUCCACCGAUGCUGACGGGACGGAUGGCGGGGCUUCGCUCCUGACCAUCCGCUCGGAGGCGCAAUAACCAACCCCGGCGCAGGUAGCGCCAAGGAAUACGAACCGAAAAGAGCACGCUGCCACGGUCACCGGAAACGGUGGUCCCGGGGCAUGCGUCGUACUCUUUCCAAAAUCAAAACGACUCUCGGCAACGGAUAUCUCGGCUCUCGCAUCGAUGAAGAACGCAGCAAAAUGCGAUACUUGGUGUGAAUUGCAGAAUCCCGUGAAUCAUCGAGUUUUUGAACGCAAGUUGCGCCCGAAGCCUUCCGGCCGAGGGCACGUCUGCCUGGGUGUCACGCAACCGUCGCUCCCAACCCCUUCGACACGUCGAGGGGCACCGGGGCGGAUGUUGGCCUCCCGUGCGCCGAUAGGCGAGCGGUUGGCCCAAAAGCCGAGUUCCCGGCGAAAGCCGCCACGACAAUCGGUGGUUGUAAGACCCUCUGACACGGUCGUGCGCGGUCCUACGCCAUAAGGGACCCCCGAGACCCCGAUGCAGCCCCGAAGGCCUGCUCCAAUCGCGACCCCAGGUCAGGCGGGACUACCCGCUGAGUUUA
rnacentral:rRNA from 1 species